UGCCUGUAGUCCCAGCUACUGAAGAGGCUGACGCAGGAGAAUCAGUUUAGCCUGGGAGGUGAAGGUUUCAGUGAACCGAGAUCGUGCCACUGCACUCCAGCCUGGGUGACAGAGUGAGACUCUGUCUCAAAAAAAAAAAGGAGAAAAAGAAAAAAAAGCUGUCUGGUGAGAGCUUGCUCUUGGACAUGAGCAGUCCCUCCCUAUGGGACCCCCUCUAUCACCUGCAGCCAUGCACAAUCCAAAAGAUUUGACAAAGUACCUC
rnacentral:lncRNA from 10 species